CAAUCUCAUUGCAGGUCUGGUAGUUUCUGUUGUAGAUCCUCCACAGGGUGAAAGCAUUAUUGAUUGUUGUGCUGCUCCUGGAGGAAAGACUCUUUACAUUGCGUCACUUUUGAGUGGCCAAGGUAUGGUAUAUGCAAUUGACAUAAAUGAAGGGGGGUUGAGAAUCCUCAAAGAAAUGGCUAAGUUGCACCAAGUAGAUGGUGUCAUCACCACUAUCCAUGCUGAUAUGCGUAGUUAUACUGACAAUAAUACUAUGAAGUGUGAUAAAGUUCUGCUGGAUGCUC